rnacentral:misc_RNA from 3 species
ACCUGCGGAGGGAUCAUUACAGAGUUGCAAAACUCCCUAAACCAUUGUGAACGUUACCUAAACCGUUGCUUCGGCGGGCGGCCCGGGUCCUUCCCGGCGCCCCUCGGCCCUCGCGGGCGCCCGCCGGAGGUAAACCAAACUAUUGCAUUGUAUGGCCUCUCUGAGUCUUCUGUACUGAAUAAGUCAAAACUUUCAACAACGGAUCUCUUGGUUCUGGCAUCGAUGAAGAACGCAGCGAAAUGCGAUAAGUAAUGUGAAUUGCAGAAUUCAGUGAAUCAUCGAAUCUUUGAACGCACAUUGCGCCCGCCAGUAUUCUGGCGGGCAUGCCUGUUCGAGCGUCAUUUCAACCAUCAAGCCCCGGGCUUGUGUUGGGGACCUGCGGCUGCCGCAGGCCCUGAAAUGCAGUGGCGGGCUCGCUGUCACUCCGAGCGUAGUAGUUACAUCUCGCCCUGGGCGUGCUGCGGGUUCCGGCCGUUAAAAGCCUUAUUUACCCAAGGUGA